rnacentral:rRNA from 1 species
GAUGAACGCUGGCGGCGUGCAUAACACAUUCAAGUCGAACGGGGCAGCAAUGCCUAGUGGCGGACGGGUGAGUAACGCGUGAGCAACCUGCCUGUGUGAGGGGGACAACAGCCGGAAACAGCUGCUAAUACCGCAUGAAGUAUCCGCAUCGCAUGGUUUGAAUACCAAAGAUUUAUCGGACACAGAUGGGCUCGCGUCCGAUUAGCUAGAUGGGGCGGUAACGGCUCGCCAUGGCGAAGAUCGGUUGCCGGACUGAGAGGUUGAACGGCCACAUGGGAACUGGGAGACGGUCCAGACUCCUACGGGAGGCAGCAGUGGGGAAUAUUGGGCAAUGGGCGAAAGCCUGACCAGCGACGCCGCGUGAAGGAAGACGGUCUUCGGAUUGUAAACUUCAAACAACAGGGAAGAAACAAAUGACUGUACCUGUUAGGAAGCCACGGCUAACUACGUGCCAGCCGCCGCCGUAAAAC